ensembl:snRNA U6 U6 spliceosomal RNA
GUGCUUGCUUCAGCAGCACAUAUACUAAAAUUGGAAUGAUACAAAGAAGAUUAGCAUGGCCCCUGCGCAAAGACGACACGCAAACUCGUGAAGCAUUCCAUGUUUUU